GUGGUAAAAGUCAAUCUGCAGUAUAAAUCAGCUCAGUGCAUUUAAUAACAGAUAGGGAAAUUCCCAGAAACAGACCAGCUCUAUUACUGUCACAGUCUUCCACCAUGUUGAUGUUACUUCCUGAUAUUUCAUACAUAUUCACUUGCUCUGCUUCCUUUUUUUUUUUUUUGGUUCUGUUCAACAGUCAGUGGUUACAUUAGGACUUGAGAACACAAAAUGGAGUGGAAGAGAUGGGGAAAAACAGACUCUCAUAAGCAAUUAAGCUCCUUCGGAACAGCAGAAAGAAAAAGAAAAAG